rnacentral:rRNA from 1 species
UGGGGAAUCUUAGACAAUGGGCGCAAGCCUGAUCUAGCCAUGCCGCGUGUGUGAUGAAGGCCUUAGGGUCGUAAAGCACUUUCGCUAGGGAUGAUAAUGACAGUACCUAGUAAAGAAACCCCGGCUAACUCCGUGCCAGCAGCCGCGGUAAUACGGAGGGGGUUAGCGUUGUUCGGAAUUACUGGGCGUAAAGCGUACGUAGGCGGAUCAGAAAGUAUAGGGUGAAAUCCCAGGGCUCAACCCUGGAACUGCCUUGUAAACUCCUGGUCUUGAGUUCGAGAGAGGUGAGUGGAAUUCCAAGUGUAGAGGUGAAAUUCGUAGAUAUUUGGAGGAACACCAGUGGCGAAGGCGGCUCACUGGCUCGAUACUGACGCUGAGGUACGAAAGUGUGGGGAGCAAACAGGAUUAGAUACCCUGGUAGUCCACACCGUAAACGAUGAAUGCCAGUCGUCGGCAAGCAUGCUUGUCGGUGACACACCUAACGGAUUAAGCAUUCCGCCUGGGGAGUACGGUCGCAAGAUUAAAA